ensembl:snRNA U6 U6 spliceosomal RNA
GUUCUUAUUUCAGCAGCACAUGUAAUAAAAUUGGAAUGAUACAGAGGAGAUUAGCAUGGCCCUUUCUCAAGGAUGAAACACAAAUUCAUGAAGUGUUUCAUUUUUUG